rnacentral:pre_miRNA from 1 species
ACUAGUAGUUGAAGCUGCCAGCAUGAUCUAAACUUUUCUAGUUGCUCCGUUGAGGAAAGAUCAGAUCAUGUAGCAGCAUCACCUGUUGAUGGU